UCUACGGGUGGCAGCAGUGGGGAAUAUUGGGCAAUGGGCGCAAGCCUGACCCAGCAACGCCGCGUGAAGGAAGAAGGCUUUCGGGUUGUAAACUUCUUUUCUCAGGGACGAAGCAAGUGACGGUACCUGAGGAAUAAGCCACGGCUAACUACGUGCCAGCAGCCGCGGUAAUACGUAGGUGGCAAGCGUUAUCCGGAUUUACUGGGUGUAAAAGGCGUGUAGGCGGGACUGCAAGUCAGAUGUGAAAACCACGGGCUCAACCUGUGGCCUGCAUUUGAAACUGUAGUUCUUGAGUACUGGAGAGGCAGACGGAAUUCCUAGUGUAGCGGUGAAAUGCGUAGAUAUAGGAGGAACACCAGUGGCGAAGGCGGUCUGCAGGACAGCAACUGACGCUGAGGCGCGAAAGCGUGGGGAGCAAACAGGAUUAGAUACCCGAGUAGUC
rnacentral:rRNA from 1 species